rnacentral:rRNA from 1 species
ACGAACGCUGGCGGCACGCUUAACACAUGCAAGUCGAACGAGAGAAGAGAAGCUUGCUUUUCUGAUCUAGUGGCGGACGGGUGAGUAACACGUGAGCAAUCUGCCUUUCAGAGGGGGAUACCGAUUGGAAACGAUCGUUAAUACCGCAUAACAUAAUUGAACCGCAUGAUUUGAUUAUCAAAGAUUUAUCGCUGAAAGAUGAGCUCGCGUCUGAUUAGCUAGUUGGUAAGGUAACGGCUUACCAAGGCGACGAUCAGUAGCCGGACUGAGAGGUUGAUCGGCCACAUUGGGACUGAGACACGGCCCAGACUCCUACGGGAGGCAGCAGUGGGGAAUAUUGCACAAUGGAGGAAACUCUGAUGCAGCGAUGCCGCGUGAGGGAAGAAGGUUUUAGGAUUGUAAACCUCUGUCUUCAGGGACGAAAAAAGACGGUACCUGAGGAGGAAGCUCCGGCUAACUACGUGCCAGCAGCCGCGGUAAUACGUAGGGAGCGAGCGUUGUCCGGAAUUACUGGGUGUAAAGGGAGCGUAGGCGGGAUCGCAAGUCAGAUGUGAAAACUAUGGGCUUAACCCAUAAACUGCAUUUGAAACUGUGGUUCUUGAGUGAAGUAGAGGUAAGCGGAAUUCCUAGUGUAGCGGUGAAAUGCGUAGAUAUUAGGAGGAACAUCAGUGGCGAAGGCGGCUUACUGGGCUUUAACUGACGCUGAGGCUCGAAAGCGUGGGGAGCAAACAGGAUUAGAUACCCUGGUAGUCCACGCCGUAAACGAUGAUUACUAGGUGUGGGGGGACUGACCCCUUCCGUGCCGCAGCAAACGCAAUAAGUAAUCCACCUGGGGAGUACGACCGCAAGGUUGAAACUCAAAGGAAUUGACGGGGGCCCGCACAAGCAGUGGAGUAUGUGGAUUAAUUCGAAGUAACGCGAAGAACCUUACCAGGUCUUGACAUCGUAUGCAUAGCUCAGAGAUGAGUGAAAUCUCUUCGGAGACAUAUAGACAGGUGGUGCAUGGUUGUCGUCAGCUCGUGUCGUGAGAUGUUGGGUUAAGUCCCGCAACGAGCGCAACCCUUACUGUUAGUUGCUACGCAAGAGCACUCUAGCAGGACUGCCGUUGACAAAACGGAGGAAGGUGGGGAUGACGUCAAAUCAUCAUGCCCCUUAUGACCUGGGCCUCACACGUACUACAAUGGCUGUCAACAGAGGGAUGCAAAGCCGCGAGGUGGAGCGAACCCCUAAAAGCAGUCUUAGUUCGGAUUGUAGGCUGCAACCCGCCUACAUGAAGUCGGAAUUGCUAGUAAUCGCAGAUCAGCAUGCUGCGGUGAAUACGUUCCCGGGCCUUGUACACACCGCCCGUCACGCCAUGGGAGUCGGUAACACCCGAAGCCUGUAGUCUAACCGCAAGGAGGACGCAGUCGAAGGUGGGAUUGAUGACUGGGGUG